rnacentral:rRNA from 1 species
CUUGACGGAUGAUUUCUUCGGAAUGAAACCAGAUAUGACUUAGUGGCGACGGGUGAGUAACACGUGAGCAACCUGCCUUUCAGAGGGGGAUAACGGCUGGAAACGGUCGCUAAUACCGCAUAAGACCACGGGAUCACAUGGUUCUGAGGUAAAAGAUUUAUCGGUUUGGGGUGGGCUCGCGUCCGAUUAGGUAGUUGGUGAGGUAACGGCCCACCAAGCCGACGAUCGGUAGCCGACCUGAGAGGGUGAUCGGCCACAUUGGGACUGAGACACGGCCCAAACUCC